CAGUUAUAAUUCUGCAGAGUGUGGCCACUGCUUCUCCCAUCCUCCUUUCCCAAGGACGGUGGGGAUUGCUAUAGGGCUGGUAGGUAGUUUACCGUCCCUUCUAUAGGCAUAGAUUUGGCACUGACAUCACAGCUUCAUAACCCCCACCACGGCCAGCUUCCCCUGCCUGUUAUCCUAGAUCCAGUCUGUUCUUGUUCAUUGAGAAUCCUGUGUUCCCACUUCAGUGACACCUGAAUUUUUUUUUAAUUGUCUUCAAGGAGGUGUUAUACUAUUCUAAUAUGUACAAGAGUAAAAAUAAGAUUGGCAGCUGCGGGGAGAUGCGUGCAAAAGAGCAUCAGUGAGAGACAACUGAUUUGAUCGCAUUAUUAUGAAAGAAAAUGAAACGUAGCAAUUCAAAAGUUGUUAUUAGGCUGAGCAGUUUGAUGAAUGAUAUGAAAUCCAACGGGGGACAGAAAAAAACCACGAAGUCUUAUGACAAAAGCACAGAAUAUCACAGUAAAUAAAAAUCAUCCAGAUUGUACUGGAAUCUUCUUAAAAUGUAGAGGCAUCUUACAUCAACAUUUGCAUCAUAUAUGUUUUUCAUUGAGCCAAGAUGUAUGCCUUUUCAGUAGCUGAACUAAUUCACCAAACGUCUAGCAGAGGGUCAACCGAAAGAACGAACAUAUUCCUGCCUCAAACCUUUUCCAUAUAUUGCUCCAUCUUCCUAGAUUAGAGCACAAGGCCUUUAUAACGUUAAUAUGACAGACUUCUUAACAUUCACGUCUAAAGCCAAAUAUAGCAACUCCAGCAGAGACUGUUUCUGAUGGCUCCUUUUCUAUCUGGUUUCUUCAAGUGAAUUAAACCCUCUUGUUCUAAGAUAUUCAUUGUUUUUAUUGAAUUAUUUUCUUUCAAAUGCACCUAGACUAUGGCUAGUGAUGAACCCUCUUGGGAUUACUUGGAAAACAAUCACUAAUAUCAUUUUCUAUGCCCUGUGGUAUAGAUGAGGAAUGCUUUUUGAUAAGGGACUUGUCUUCUGCUUUUUUUCCCCCAUUUAGGUGAUAAUCCAAUUCCCAUCCCAUUAAUUUUCUUUAACAUACUUAUUAAUGCCUGAAUUCAUCUUAUCACUUUGUUAAGAUGGUCAUUUAUUACCCGAUCUCAGUGUAAACUCCAGAAAGAAGGAGCAGGAUGUGUUUUCUAUAGUGCUAACACCCCAGGGACAAUUAGUAAGCACAUAGCCCAGUACACAAUAAUUGAAUGGUUUAUAAAUAUUAAUCAAUAUUUUCUCACUGGUUACCACAGUGACCAUUUGAAAGCUCAACCUGGUGACAAGUAAUUCUAUUACUAUGUUUUUCCAAAAGUGAGAAACAGAUUUUAGUAAAUCCUCUUAUAUACACCAAUUUAACUUUGAGAAAUUGCAAAGAAGUUUCCUUUGAAUAUUUGCCUAAAUCACAGACUGGUUGCUUCUCCAAUUUCUUCCAUCACUUAAUUUCCUUAAUUACAAUAUUGUCACAUAUGCCUUCUAGCAUAGCAGCUGGGAGGGGUACAAUGAUUGCUAUCAUUUGGACAUUUUCUACAGCAUGGGACUAAUAUGCCAAAGCGUUGCAAUAUUGCUGCUGUCAUUGCUAUUAUAGUAGUGUUACAAGAAUUCAUUACAGUUAGGGAAAUAAUGACAGACAUAGUUCAUCUUCUUUACUGUAAGAAAUGGUAGGAAGCCAAAUUCACACAGAUAUAUCCAAAAGCAGUUACUUCUGUGUGUAUAAGUAUAUAUGUGUAGAAACUUUUGCCACGAGAAGUACUAAACUUUAUAUGGCAAUGUUAUUAAAAUAAAAUAUCAACACCACUGACUAAAAUUAGAUCUCAAUUAACAGAAAAUAUAAAUAAUACUUUGAGAGUUUGAAAAGAAUACGUGGUAAAAUUCAGAAAUAUUAAAAUUACAUAAGAAUUUUUGUUUGGAGUUUUUUUUCAAGAAAAGAAGAGGUGCUUUGGUAUGUUAUUCACAUUCUCAGAAGUAUUAGUUUAUGCCAUGUAUUAUACAUUUCAAAAUUGCCACAACAGAAGAUUUUGAAAGUUAACCAAGCAAAGAAAUGAAAGGGUUUGAGGUGAUGAACGUGCUGACUACCUUGAUUUAACAAGGAUCAAUGUAUACAUAUACUGAAACAUCACACUGUACCCCAUAAACAUGUAGACUUAUUAUGUGUCAAUUGUAAACAAAAUAAAAACCAAAAAGAGUAGAAGCCCUUAGGUGAGAGAGUGAGUUUGCAUCAUGUCUAUUCUUUUUACUUACAAUGCAGACAAAGUGCCCUUAAUUUAUGUAUGUCCACCCGUAAAAUAGUCAUAGUAUUAGUACAUUCUUCAUAGUUAAAUAGGAUGAAAUAAUUGAGGCGAUAAAUGCAAAAUUCUUAUCAACGUGUCUAGCAUUCUGUAAAUACCCAUAUAAGGUGUUUUUGACUCUUGAUCUUCAUCUCCAAUCAUUAAUAGUGACCAUUCUUUGGUUGGUCAUUCUUUCUUCUGCCUAAAUAAGGAAACUUUUUUUUUUUUCUUUUUGCCAUAAGGAACUAGCUGAAUAGUAAUAAUGAUCUAAUUAUUAUUGUCUGAAACCUAAUUUGUAGUAUAACUAGAGCAAAGUUCGGUCAGGGGAAAAAAGAGAAUGUCUUAUUUAAUUAAUUAGUUUUGCACAUCAUAUAUCUUGGCACAUGAAGAAUGCCAACUAGAUCUGUUAAUAUAUAUGUAAAUUUCACAGAGGCACACAACCUGCCAGGAUUUUAUUUGGUUGUGGUGGAGAUAGUUGUGAUUACUGUAAUGUGAUUUAUUUGAUUAGAGAGACAUGUAUUUUCUUCAGAAGACUAGAAACAUUUUAGAAAAACUUGAAUUUUCUAUGAAAAUUUAGUAUUGUUAUUAUGAAAUUUCAUGUAUCUAUAAAGUAUAUCUCUUCCAAAGUUAUAAUAAUUGUGAUGUCCCUAGGAAAUAUAUAGGUAUAAAUAAAAUCUAUUUUGAGUUAAAUGUGAAUAACCCAAUUUAUUUCUAAAAAAUUAGAUUUUGAAAUCAGUUCAUUCUUAAACAUUAGCCAGACAUUUUAGGAAAAAAAAUUAAGUGUUAACAGAGUUUAUAGCCUUGUCUUGCUCUUUCUAUGGAAAACAUUUUCUUUACCAGGUAUACUAUGAUUUGAAAACAGAACAAAAAAUACCAUGUAGAUUUACUUACUGAAUUUCAUGCUCCAUCGCCUAUUAAAAUUUACCUUGAAACUUAAAAAUAGGCUUAAAUUUAUUUAAAGAAAAAAAUUAGACUGAGGUAGAACUUUGUACCAUACUAAGUAAACCAAGUAAACUUUUCCUCAAAACAAAAAUUUGACGACUUUUAAAGUAAGGCAUGAAUUAUAAUUAACAAAUCACAAAGUACUAUUUAAUAACAGAAAUUUUCUUACCAUUAUCAUACCUACAUAAUAAGGCAUGAAUAAUGCAUGGCCUUUUGAAGUAUGCUUCUUAACUCAGAUUUAGUGAACUGAUAUAAAUAUUCAAGUUUGAUCUUAAAAGAAAUGGGGAAGAGACAAAGGCAGUAAAAAUUAAGAAAGAGAUAAUUCCACUAACUUAAAAAUGAUUUAAUCAAAACUAUGAACAUUUAAUGCCUACUAUAUAUAAGACACUUUCUGACGUGCUGGUAAUAGAUUUAAAGAUAAAUAAAAUAUUAUCAAGGAAUCUGAGAUAUAGAAGUCAACACACACAUUUAUACACAUAGCUAAUAUCUAAUGAGAGCAAAUAAUUAAUAUAUGGACCUAACCAAAUGGACAAGACAUAACUACAAUUCUGUAAAAAUUAAAUAAUGAUUUGCAAAACUCAUAAGUUACAAAUAUAUUAAGUUUGGCAAUGCAUAUUUACAGUAUCCAAAAAUAAUCCACAGUAUUUCAGACAUUUAUCUCACCUAAAAAUAUUUCUUAGAUUAGCUUUGAAAUAAAAUUGGAAGAUAUUUUAAUUGUCAUGGUUGCCUAUUCUGCUGAUACUGCUUAAAUUAAUUUAUUUUCUUUCAAUCACACAGAGUAGAUAGAACACAUUUUUUUUCUAAAAUUGCAUUCAUUUAUUUCCAGGUAUAAUUUGGGAGAGUGAGCCCUCAGGAUCCAGAGAGGAAAUUGUUAAUAUUAUUUAUUAUAUCCUUAGGGCCAUAUAUACACAGGGCAGAAGAGAACUAAUUAUGCCAAAGAAAUGUUCUUCCCUAUGGACUUGACACAAUAAUGGAGCCUCUGAUUUCUUUCAAAAAGUAACAAGCUGAAGAGGUUUAGUAGAAGCCAUUUUUAUUAGAAGGCUUGAAGGAAUUACAGUGUUUUGGACAAGGAACACAAAGAAAAUUGAAACUAAGUUUUGUAUAUUUCAAUUUAAAGUCUGCUUUAACAGGUAAAGUAGGGUAAAGUAGUGGAAAUUUGAUAAUACGCAAAAAUGUUUCUAUAUUUUGCAGAAAGAAACCUGGAGAAAUUGUAAUAGGAUGUAAAAGUAUGUAUAUAAUUUAGAAUUAACAGGAAAAAAAAAACUCAGUGCCUUAAAGAAGGAGCUGAUUUCAUUUACAUCACAUAGGAUAAACUAAUAGAAUUUUAAUAUUAAUACCUUCAGUACAGUGAAUUAAUCUCAGGAUAACCGUUUAAAUGUUUAGCUAGUUCAUUUUAAAAUAGAAGGUGUAGUACUUUACUUACUGUAUAGCCUAGAGAUUGCACAUAGAGAUGAAGGAUUAUGAUAUUAAAUCUAGAAACACAUGUCUUUAUGUUUGGGGGCAACCUAAGUGUAUAUGUAUAAGGUGACAAUGUGUGUAUGAUUAUGACUAUUUAUUAACCAUCACUAUGAAAAUGUAAAAUGUAGUGAAAGUAUUUGUAUAACUUAACUGAACCACUAUGAGUUUUUUGUUUUAUUUUGUUUUUUCAAGACAUGCUCUUCCUGUGUCAUCCAGGCUGGAGUGCAGCGGUGCAAUCACGGCUCACUGCAGCCUUGAACUCCCAGGUUCAAGUGAUCCUCCCACCUUAGCCUCCUGUGUAGCUAGGACUACAGGCAUGCAUCACCAUGCCCCAUGCCACCACGGUUACCACACCUUGCUAAUUUUUGUAUUUUUUGUAGAGACGGGAUUUUGUUAGGCACACCCAGGCUGAUCUGGAACUCUUGGGCUGAAGCCCACAUCCUCUUAUAGUGCUGGGAUUACAGGUGUGACCCACUGUUCCUGACCACCUCUAUGAAUUCCUAAAUAUACUAUAUGAAUUACGCUAUUUUCCUUUGUCUGUAUUCACAAGUGACAUUCACCUGAUGAUUUACAUAUUUUAUUUUGCGUAUAUUUUCUUUUCUUUGUUCACAAAGAAUAUAGAAAUGACAAUACGUGUUAAGUAGGUCCCAUUUCUUCAUUCCAUUGUGUUUGAUGUUUUAGUAUCAUUGGUAACAUUGUUUUUUUGUCAGAACAUUCUUGACUAUACAAGAGUCGAUCAUUUAAAGCUACUUUCAUUAUAAUCUUCUAAAGUACUCUUAGGAGAUAAUCAGGAAAAAACAUACAGAUAAAUAUAUAGAUAUGUUGCGGGAAAUCAGGGAUUCUGAACAGAGGGACCUGCUGAAGCUGUGACAGAAUAACAUAAAUUGUGAAGAUUUCAUGGACAUUUAUUCAUUCCCCAAAUUAAUACUUUUAUAAUUUCUUAUACCUGUCUUUACUACAAUCUCUGAACAUAAAUUGUGAAGAUUCCAUGGACAUUUAUCACUUCCCCAAUCAAUACUCUUGUGAUUUCCUAUGUCUGUCUUUAAUCUAUUAAUCCCAUCAUCUUCAUAAGCUGAGGAUGUAUGUCGCCUCAGGACCCUGUGAUGAUUGUGUUAACUGCACAAAUUGUUCAUAAAGCAUGUGUGUUUAAACAAUAUGAAAUCUGGGCACCUUGAAAAAAGAACAGGAUAACAGCGAUGUUCAGGGAAAAAGGGAGAUAACCAUUGGGCCUGACUGCCUGAGGUGCCAGGUGGAACAGAGUCAUAUUUCUCUUCUUACAAAAGCGAAUAGGAGAAAUAUCGCUGAAUUCUUUUUCUCAGCAAGGAACAGCCCUGAGAAAGAAUGCAUUCCCAGAGGGAGGUCUCUAAAAUGGCCACUCUAGGAAUGUCUGUCUUAUACGGUUGUAAACAAGGGAUGAAACAAGCCCCAGUCUACCGUAGGGCCCCCAGGCCUAUAGGAUCAGGAAAUUCCUGCCUAGUAAAUUUUAGUCAGACCGGUUGUCUGCUCUCAAACCCUGUCACCUGAUAAGAUGUUAUCAAUGACAAUGCGUGCCCAGUGGGACAUGAAAGUUAAUUAGCAAUUUUAAUUUCAUCCUGGUCCCAUGAUCUCGCUCUGCCCCCAUUUGCCUUGUGAUAUUUUAUUGCCUUGUGAAGCAUACAACCUCUGUGACCCACACCCUAUUCAUACACUCCCUCCUUUUCAAAUCCAUAAUAAAAACUUGCUGGUUUUGUGGCUUGGGGGCAUCACGGAACCUGCUGACAUAUGAUGUCUCCCUUGGACACCCAGCUUUAAAAUUUCUCUGUUUUGUAUUCUUUCCCUUUAUUUCUCAGACCAACCGACACUCAGGGAAAAUAGAAAAGAACCCACGUUGAAAUAUCGGGGGCUGGUUCCCCCGAUAUAGAUAUAUUUUUAAAAUCGAAGAGACAUUAUAAUGUUAUUUUAUUGUAUCUCUUAUUGAAUGGGACUUUCCUUUCUUUCUUUCUUUCUUUCUCCCUCUCUCUGUCUCUACUUCUUCCUUCCUUCCUAGCUUCUUUCCUUCCUUGCUUCCUUUCUUUGUUUUCUUCCUUCUUUGGAUAUUGCUGUGAACACAGCGUAUAGACAAAGUAAAAUCCUCUCUGCUAAAAUCAUGUGUUUAUGCACAUAAUAGGCUAACACUAUGGAUAUGCAAUCUACCAUUUGAAAAUAGUUCAUUCCAGACUAAUCUCACUUUAUUCACGAUUGUUAUAUCUUGACAUAUGUCCCCCCAAAACUUCAUAUGUUGAAUUGUAUUCCAAAACGUCAGACUUUGACUGUCUUUGGACAUAGGACCUUUAAAGAGGUCAUUAAUUUAAAAUGUCUUUAGAAUAGACCCUAAUCCAGUAUGAUUUAUCAGAAAAGGCAAUUAGGAUACACAGUGGGUCAACCUAUGUGAGGACACAACUAGAAGGAGGCCAUCCUCAAGCCAAGGAAAGGGGCCACAGAAGAACUUAGCUUGCCAAUGCCAACACCUUGAUCUUAAACUUCCAGGCUUCCGUAAUUGUGAGGAAGUAUUUUUACGUUGUUUAAACUACCCAGUCUGUGUUAUUUUGUUACAGCAGACCUAGUAAACUAAAACAACAACUUAGAUGCUUGUGCGUUUAAAGGUUGUAACUUUAACAUGCUUUCUUUUUGUUCAUUCACUCUCAUGUAUGUGUCUGCAUUCUCUUAGGUUAACUUUUUCACAUGUAUGACUUUGAGUACAAUCUUAUUGCUGCUGAUGCCGACCAAACCUUAGCCUCUAAUAAUUUAGACUCAUAUAAAACUGAUUAAUGGAUAUAUAAUUUAUUGUUGCAUGGGUUUCACAAACUCAGGAUGUCCCAAAUGAAUUCUUCAUUUUUUCUACAAUUCUGUUCAUGUGCUCGCAUACUUUCUACAGCAGUAAGUGGUGGGAUAUUCUAGUAAGUAGACCAAAUAUGGGAAUCUAUAAUUUCUGUGGCAAGUGCAUAGUCUAUUAAUUACUAUAAUGUGAUCUUGUCCAGUUGCACAAGUCCCCCAAUUAUAAUUGUCUCCCAUUAUUUUAUAUUUAGUCUUGAAAUUUCACUUAUAAAUAAAAGAAUUAGUUUUUCAAAUUUAAUAUAAACAAGAAACCAAUACCAAACUAAACAAGCACAAAACAAAUAAAAACGAUUAUAAUAUUUAUUAGGAUUGCCUGGAAUGUAAACAUAAAUAUGAGUAUAGUUAAUAUCUAAAUGAUAUUGAGACUUCAUAGUAGCCAUGAAAUUUUUAUAUAUUUUAAAUUAUUCAGGUGUUAUUUUCUUUCAGUAUAGUUUUAUAAUUCUCUGGAUACCUUUCUUAAAUUUAUUAUUGAAUUUAUGCCUAUGCAUUUUAUAUUUUUAUUAAAAUUAUAAGUGACAUCCUCUAUUAAAGAAUAUUUUCUAAAUGACUAUUGCUGGUUUAUAUAAAUGUAAUUUAUUUUUGCAUUUAAUUUAUAUUUAAUGUAGGUAUUUUGAGUUUUCUUUGUAGGAGAUAAUAUAAACUGCCAAUAUUCAUGCUUUUUCUUAUUAAACACUUUAUACCCAUUAUUGAUUUUUCAUUAUGUACUCCACAAUAUCUUUUAUUACAAAGUUGUUGUUAUCUUUUCUAUUGUUCAGGUUUUAAUGAAAUUCUUAGUAUUUUACUGUGAUGUUUACUGAAGGUUUUUGUAAAUACCCUUCAUUACGUUAAGUAAGUUUUCUUCUUUGAUAUGUGGUAAGAAUUUUUAUUAUGAAAGCAUUUUAAUUUGUUCAAAGCUAUUUUCUGCUUCUAUCAACAUGACAUUAUGCUAUUACUUUUCCUUAAUUAUUAACAUGGUGAAUAUAUUUUAUUAAUUCUGUAAUAUCAAACUUUACAUCCUUAUAAGUAAUGUAAAACAGGAUGUUUGAUUUAUUGAUAUUAGGUUAACUGCUUUUUUUUAACCUGAUAAUUUAAGUACUUUUAAAAUCAUUUGUUAAACCUCAAGAGAAAUGUAUCAAGAUUUCAUUGUUCUCAUAGUUAUUUAAAGAUUAGUAGCCCUCUUAAGUUCUCUGGAAAAUUACUAUACAAUUCUAGUAUAUAUUUUUAAAACUGCUUCUCAUCUUGAAGCAAUAAAGCAUUUGAGAAAAACACUAGAAUCAAGUUCUAUCAUCUCCAAUUAGAAUCUUUGUAGUUUUAGGAACAAUUUUUCUGCCUCAGUUUUCUCAUCUACAAAAUAAGGAUAAAAUAUUACUUAUAUACAUUGUUGUUUUGAGAAUAAAAUAAUGUACUAUAAUAGUGUAUUUUAUAACUGUACAUAAAUAAAUGAAAUGCUAUUGUUACAUAUAAUUACUAUCUUGUGUAAUUAAGUUCUGGUGUAUUUCAG
rnacentral:lncRNA from 10 species